CCACGGGUGAGUAACACGUAUCCAACCUGCCGUCUACUCUUGGCCAGCCUUCUGAAAGGAAGAUUAAUCCAGGAUGGCAUCAUGAGUUCACAUGUCCGCAUGAUUAAAGGUAUUUCCGGUAGACGAUGGGGAUGCGUUCCAUUAGAUAGUAGGCGGGGUAACGGCCCACCUAGUCAACGAUGGAUAGGGGUUCUGAGAGGAAGGUCCCCCACAUUGGAACUGAGACACGGUCCAA
rnacentral:rRNA from 1 species